GAUGAACGCUGGCGGCGUGCCUAAUACAUGCAAGUCGAGCGAACGGACGAGAAGCUUGCUUCUCUGAUGUUAGCGGCGGACGGGUGAGUAACACGUGGAUAACCUACCUAUAAGACUGGGAUAACUUCGGGAAACCGGAGCUAAUACCGGAUAAUAUUUUGAACCGCAUGGUUCAAAAGUGAAAGACGGUCUUUCUGUCACUUAUAGAUGGAUCCGCGCUGCAUUAGCUAGUUGGUAAGGUAACGGCUUACCAAGGCAACGAUGCAUAGCCGACCUGAGAGGGUGAUCGGCCACACUGGAACUGAGACACGGACCAGACUCCUACGGGAGGCAGCAGUAGGGAAUCUUCCGCAAUGGGCGAAAGCCUGACGGAGCAACGCCGCGUGAGUGAUGAAGGUCUUCGGAUCGUAAAACUCUGUUAUUAGGGAAGAGCAUAUGUGUAAGUAACUGUGCACAUAUUGACGGUACCUAAUCAGAAAGCCACGGCUAACUACGUG
rnacentral:rRNA from 1 species